UAGGGAAUCUUCGGCAAUGGGCGACAGCCUGACCGAGCAACGCCGCGUGAGUGAAGACGGUCUUCGGAUUGUAAAGCUCUGUCAUGCGGGACGAGCGACAAGGAGAGGGCAUGCUCCUUGGGAGACGGUACCGCAGGAGGAAGCCCCGGCUAACUACGUGCCAGCAGCCGCGGUAAUACGUAGGGGGCAAGCGUUGUCCGGAAUGACUGGGCGUAAAGCGCGCGCAGGCGGUCUUUUGCGUCUGGGGUGAAAGGCAGGGGCACAACCCGUGCAGGGCCUUGGAAACGGGGAGACGUGAGGGUCGAGGAGGUCAGGGGAAUUCCACGUGUAGCGGUGAAAUGCGUAGAUAUGUGGAGGAAUACCAGUGGCGAAGGCGCCUGACUGGACGAAACCUGACGCUGAGGCGCGAAGGCGUGGGGAGCAAACAGG
rnacentral:rRNA from 1 species